rnacentral:rRNA from 1 species
UACGUAGGGUGCAAGCGUUGUCCGGAAUUAUUGGGCGUAAAGAGCUCGUAGGCGGUCUGUCGCGUCGGCUGUGAAAUCCCGAGGCUCAACCUCGGGUCUGCAGUCGAUACGGGCAAACUAGAGUAUUGCAGGGGAGACUGGAAUUCCUGGCGUAGCGGUGAAAUGCGCAGAUAUCAGGAAGAACACCCGUGGCUAAGGCGGCUCUCUAGUACGGUACUGACGCUGAGACGCGAAAGCGUGGGGAGCGAACAGG